rnacentral:tRNA from 1 species
GUCCUCGUAGCUCAGGUGGAUAGAGCGUAGGAUUCCUAAUCCUGAGGCCGUGGGUUCGAGCCCCGCCGAGGACGCCA